rnacentral:rRNA from 1 species
CCUACGGGAGGCAGCAGUGAGGACUAUUGGUCAAUGGGCGAGAGCCUGAACCAGCCAAGUCGCGUGAAGGAUGACGGAUCUAUGGUUUGUAAACUUCUUUUAUAUGGGAAUAAAGUGAGGCACGUGUUCCUUUUUGUAUUUACCUUAUGAAUAAGCAUCGGCUAACUCCGUGCCAGCAGCCGCGGUAAUACGGAGGAUGCGAUCGUUAUCCGGAUUUAUUGGGUUUAAAGGGUGCGUAGGUGGUUCAUUAAGUCAGCUGUGCAAGUUUGUGGCUAAACCAUAAAAUUGCCGUUGAUACUGGUUGACUUGAGUAUAUUUGAGGUAGGCGGAAUGCGUGGUGUAGCGGUGAAAUGCAUAGAGAUCACGCAGAACUCCGAUUGCGAAGGCAGCUUACUAAACUAUAACUGACACUGAAGCACGAAAGUGUGGGGAUCAAACAGGAUUAGAUACCCUUGUAGUC